ACUUGCUCGAGCUAUGUGACAGCAAAGUUCUUUUCGAUUGAAAACUUGAAGACCACAGUUGUGUUUUUCCUUGCAUUUCACGUUUCGUGUCAAAAUCUGAAGACUUAAAACAUGCGUUACGUGGCUGCAUACUUGUUGGCUGUUAUCGGCGGAAAGGAAGCCCCCGCUAAUGCAGACCUUGAGAAAAUUCUCAGCUCUGUCGGUAUUGAGGUGGAUACUGAACGUCUUUCAAAGGUGAUUAAGGAACUCGAUGGCAAAAGUAUUGAAGAUCUGAUCAAGGAAGGACGUGACAAGCUGUCUUCGAUGCCAGUCGGCGGCGGGGCUGUAUCUGCUGCUCCGUCCGCUGGCACUCCAGCAGCUCCAGCUGGUGGGGACAAAAAAGAAGCUAGCAAAGAUGAGAAGAAGGAAGAUUCCGAGUCUGAGGAUGACGACAUGGGUUUCGCUCUCUUCGAGUAAACCGACAUUGUUGGCAUUCUCAUGAAAAGUCGUAUAUAAAGCAAAACACGUACAAUAUCAUGAGGUUAUAUCACAAAAAAUAAAAAUGCGUUGCGAGCAGUCGCCAUCUGAAAUAAAGGUUUACUUUGCAGCUCGCGAUUAAAAAAUGUAUUUCAUAGCCCAGAAACAUUUUGAAUAGCUCAAUCAUUUCAUCCUUUAUUUCCGUGAAAUAAAAUCUGAAGUGUUAAAACUUUA